rnacentral:rRNA from 1 species
AACGAACGCUGGCGGCAUGCCUAACACAUGCAAGUCGAACGAGACCUUCGGGUCUAGUGGCGCACGGGUGCGUAACGCGUGGGAACCUGCCCUUAGGUUCGGAAUAACUCCCCGAAAGGGGUGCUAAUACCGGAUAAUGUCUUCGGACCAAAGAUUUAUCGCCUUUGGAUGGGCCCGCGUUGGAUUAGCUAGUUGGUAGGGUAAAAGCCUACCAAGGCGACGAUCCAUAGCUGGUCUGAGAGGAUGAUCAGCCACACUGGGACUGAGACACGGCCCAGACUCCUACGGGAGGCAGGAGUGGGGGAUAGUGGAAAAUGGGGGAAAGGCUGAUGCAGCAAGGCCGCGUGAGUGAUGAAGGCCUUAGGGUUGUAAAGCGCUUUUACCCGGGAUGAUAAUGACAGUACCGGGAGAAUAAGCUCCGGCUAACUCCGUG